AUUGAACGCUGGCGGCAUGCCUUACACAUGCAAGUCGAACGGUAACGGGCCUUCGGGUGCCGACGAGUGGCGAACGGGUGAGUAAUACAUCGGAACGUGCCCGAUCGUGGGGGAUAACGAGGCGAAAGCUUUGCUAAUACCGCAUACGAUCUACGGAUGAAAGCAGGGGACCGCAAGGCCUUGCGCGGACGGAGCGGCCGAUGGCAGAUUAGGUAGUUGGUGGGAUAUAAGCUUACCAAGCCGACGAUCUGUAGCUGGUCUGAGAGGAUGAUCAGCCACACUGGGACUGAGACACGGCCCAGACUCCUACGGGAGGCAGCAGUGGGGAAUUCUGGACAAUGGGCGCAAGCCUGAUCCAGCCAUGCCGCGUGCAGGAUGAAGGCCUUCGGGUUGUAAACUGCUUUUGUACGGAACGAAAAGCCUUCUUUUAAUACAGGAGGGUCAUGACGGUACCGUAAGAAUAAGCACCGGCUAACUACGUG
rnacentral:rRNA from 1 species